AAAGCGCUAUCUAUAACUAUAUCAAUAGAUAGCGCUUAUUUAAAAAAGCGUUAUUUAUAAUUAUUUGAUAUUAAUUUUUUAAUUAAUAAUUUAAAAUAUAUUAAUAGAUAGCGUUGUUUUAAACAUUAUUUAUACCAACUAGAUAGAUAUCGCUUUUCUAUUUAUUAGCAGAGAAUAAAUAUCGGUUUUUUUAGAAUAUGAGCGUGUUAAAAUAAUUUCAUUUCGCGGUUCUCCUUCAAAUUAUAUUUUCGUUUUCGUUUCUGGUUCGCGCUUCUCCCUCGAGGUGUUUAGGCGUUUUUGUUUCUUCGAUCAGUUUUUGUAAUCUUAAAUCUCGGUGGCUCUCGCGUCUUUACUCCGUUUCAGUUGCCGUGCGUGUGGCUUUCCGAGUUAGGCAUCUUUGCUCCAUUCCAGUUGGUGUUUUCGUCAGUGCCUCAAGUUGUAGCGCUAAUUCAUUACAAAUUUUCGUGCUUCCCCGUAACCUAGAAUUGUAAGAGUUGUAUCACUCACUUGAAAAUCUCUUUAGAACUGAAAAAUAAGUCGCACCUGCUUCUUCCUUCUCCAUGACAAAGAAAGAUUGUUGAUUCAUUCGAAACCCUUGCCCAGGCUCCAUACGAGAUGAAAACCCUAGUCGAGGUCCACCACUCGUGCUUCAAUCGCUCGCGGCUCG
rnacentral:lncRNA from 1 species